AACGAACGCUGGCGGCAUGCCUAACACAUGCAAGUCGAACGGGAUCCAGGCUUCGGCCUGGUGAGAGUGGCGGACGGGUGAGUAACACGUGGGAACCUGCCUUUUGGUUCGGGAUAACCGCGGAAAACUGCGGCUAAUACCGGAUGCUCCCGAGAGGGGAAAGAUUUAUCGCCAGAAGAGGGGCCCGCGUCCGAUUAGGUAGUUGGUGAGGUAAUGGCUCACCAAGCCGACGAUCGGUAGCUGGUCUGAGAGGAUGAUCAGCCACACUGGGACUGAGAUACGGCCCAGACUCCUACGGGAGGCAGCAGUGGGGAAUAUUGGACAAUGGGGGCAACCCUGAUCCAGCAAUGCCGCGUGAGUGAUGAAGGCCUUAGGGUUGUAAAGCUCCUUUGCCAGGGAAGAUGAUGACUGUACCUGGAGAAUAAGCCCCGGCUAACUUCGUGCCAGCAGCCGCGGUAA
rnacentral:rRNA from 1 species